AGGGAAUCUUCCGCAAUGGACGAAAGUCUGACGGAGCAACGCCGCGUGAGUGAUGAAGGUUUUCGGAUCGUAAAGCUCUGUUGCCAGGGAAGAACGCUUGGGAGAGUAACUGCUCGCCAAGGUGACUGUACCGAGAAGAAGACCCUUCCC
rnacentral:rRNA from 1 species